AACGAACGCUGGCGGCAUGCCUAACACAUGCAAGUCGAACGAGACCUUCGGGUCUAGUGGCGCACGGGUGCGUAACGCGUGGGAACCUGCCUUUAGGUUCGGAAUAACUCAGAGAAAUUUGAGCUAAUACCGGAUGAUGUCUUCGGACCAAAGAUUUAUCGCCUUUAGAUGGGCCCGCGUUGGAUUAGCUAGUUGGUGGGGUAAAGGCCUACCAAGGCGACGAUCCAUAGCUGGUCUGAGAGGAUGAUCAGCCACACUGGGACUGAGACACGGCCCAGACUCCUACGGGAGGCAGCAGUGGGGAAUAUUGGACAAUGGGCGAAAGCCUGAUCCAGCAAUGCCGCGUGAGUGAUGAAGGCCUUAGGGUUGUUAAAGGCUCUUUACCCGUACGAUGAUAAUAGACAGUAUCGGGAGAAUAAGCUCCGGCUAACUCCGUG
rnacentral:rRNA from 1 species